rnacentral:rRNA from 1 species
AGUGAACGCUGGCGGCAGGCCUAACACAUGCAAGUCGAACGGCAGCACAAGAGAGCUUGCUCUCUGGGUGGCGAGUGGCGGACGGGUGAGGAAUGCAUCGGAAUCUGCCCAUUUGUGGGGGAUAACCUCGGGAAACCGGGACUAAUACCGCAUACGACCUACGGGUGAAAGCAGGGGAUCUUCGGACCUUGCGCAGAUGGAUGAGCCGAUGCCGGGUUAGCUAGUUGGAGGGGUAAAGGCCCACCAAGGCGACGAUCCGUAGCUGGUCUGAGAGGAUGAUGGGCCACACUGGGACUGAGACACGGCCCAGACUCCUACGGGAGGCAGCAGUGGGGAAUAUUGGACAAUGGGCGCAAGCCUGAUCCAGCCAUGCCGCGUGUGUGAAGAAGGCCUUCGGGUUGUAAAGCACUUUUGUUGGGAAAGAAAAGCAGCCGGUUAAUACCCGGUUGUCAUGACGGUACCCAAAGAAUAAGCACCGGCUAACUUCGUG